GUCGAGAAUCUUUCACAAUGGGGGCAACCCUGAUGGAGCGACGCCGCGUGGAGGAUAAGGUCUUCGGAUUGUAAACUCCUGUCAUGCGUGAACAAGGUUGCUUGGUUAAUACCUGGGCAAAUUGAUGGUAACGCAAGAGGAAGAGACGGCUAACUCUGUGCCAGCAGCCGCGGUAAUACAGAGGUCUCAAGCGUUGUUCGGAAUCACUGGGCGUAAAGGGUGCGUAGGUGGCGUGGUAAGUCAGAUGUGAAAGCCCGGGGCUCAACCUCGGAACUGCAUCCGAUGCUGCCAUGCUAGAGUACUGGAGAGGUGACUAGAAUUCUCGGUGUAGCAGUGAAAUGCGUAGAUAUCGAGAGGAAUACCAAAGGCGUAGGCAGGUCACUGGACAGUUACUGACACUGAGGCACGAAGGCCAGGGGAGCGAACGGGAUUAGAAACCCUUGUAGUCC
rnacentral:rRNA from 1 species